UGGGGAAUUUUGGACAAUGGGCGAAAGCCUGAUCCAGCAAUGCCGCGUGUGUGAAGAAGGCCUUCGGGUUGUAAAGCACUUUUGUCCGGAAAGAAAUCCUUGGCUCUAAUACAGUCGGGGGAUGACGGUACCGGAAGAAUAAGCACCGGCUAACUACGUGCCAGCAGCCGCGGUAAUACGUAGGGUGCAAGCGUUAAUCGGAAUUACUGGGCGUAAAGCGUGCGCAGGCGGUUUGCUAAGAUCGAUGUGAAAUCCCCGGGCUCAACCUGGGAACUGCAUUGGUGACUGGCAGGCUAGAGUAUGGCAGAGGGGGGUAGAAUUCCACGUGUAGCAGUGAAAUGCGUAGAGAUGUGGAGGAAUACCGAUGGCGAGGGCAGCCCCCUGGGCCAAUACUGACGCUCAUGCACGAAAGCGUGGGGAGCAAACAGGAUUAGAUACCCUGGUAGUCCACGCCCUAAACGAUGUCAACUAGUUGUUGGGGAUUCAUUUCCUUAGUAACGUAGCUAACGCGUGAAGUUGACCGCCUGGGGAGUACGGUCGC
rnacentral:rRNA from 1 species